UCGAGGGUUAGGUGCAUCAUCUGGAUGAACACAGACCCAGCAGGCCUCUACUGUGUGUGUGUGUUAGAGGCCUCAUAUCAGCUGGUGUAGGCUGCCUGUUUGGUGGUUCAGUUUUUGAGAGAUGGCAGGGUUCCAGAUUAAGUGAGACUGCUGGUCCUCCUGAGGUCCCAAGGCCUGACACUAUUACUGAGGCUAUGGAGCACUCACAAAAAGGAACCUAACAUGGCUGCACUCUGGAAGACCGAAGAAGCAGCUGAAAGAGUCAGAUGCAGAUAUUUGCACCCAACCAAUGGGAAGAAGCAGCUGACCCCAGUUGUUGAAUUAAGAAAGGCUGAAAGGAGCUGAGGAGAAGGUAGAUCCUGUAGGAGGACCAGCAGUCUAUAAACAUUUUUGAAACCUAAAUACCAAGGUCAACUCUCUGGAUGUCUAAACCUAUGCAACCAAUACAAAGUAGUAUUAUUCUUCAUCCAAUAGCAUCUAAGAUGAAGAGACCCACAAACAAACACCAGUUGAUGGUCAAGGAGCCUUUGUGGAAGAGUAAGGUGGUAGAACUGAGCGAGCUGGAGUGGUCAAAGCCAUCACAAGAAGACCUAAAGAGUCAACUAGGCUGCAGUUCUUUCAUACAGGAACAAUUAUGGGUCAGAGUUUUUGACUUUGGGAUAUUUUAUCACUCAGUCUUUCUCAUUUUUAUUAGCUCCUUGGGAAUUUUAUUACAAAAAUACUCUUCUCUCACAUAAUACAUUCACACCACAGUUUCCAUCAAAUCCUCUCAUUGAGUCUGGACUAGGCAAGCCAGUAAGAAGAAAAGCGCCUCUGGAGCAGACAGACGAAUCAGAGACACACCUUCUCCUGCUGUAAGGAGUCCCACAAAGGCUUCCCCCUAACAGUCGUAGCAUAAACACAGAGGACCUGGCGCAGAGCAGUGCAAGCCCUAGGCUUGCUAGUUUACUCUCUUUGAGCCCAUGUGAGCCUGGUUGGUUAACGUUCUCCAGGUAGUCAACGCCAUCUAAUUUAGACGUUCUCUCCACAUAAUGUCUGCCUUGUCACAUGACAACUAAGCAAGGCCCUGAUCCAUGAGUACAGCAGAUUAUCAUUAGGAAUAAUUUCAUUGAUUUUCUUUUUUGUUUGGCUAGUUGUGAUUGGCUUUACUCUAGGUCUCUGGGCUAUCCAGUCUCUGGUCCGCAGUCAUCCAGGCAUGAUCAGGCAUGGACUUCCUCUUCCGACAUGGGCCUCAAGUUAAACCACACACUGGUAGGCCAGUUCUACAAGUUCUGCACCACCAUUUCCCCAGCACAUCUAGUACACAGGACUGACUUGAUGGAAGGGUUUGAGGCUGGGUUAGAUUCAGGUUUCAAUUUCAGUAGUGUACAGAGUACCUUCCUGAACCAAAAUGAAUAGGAAGUAAGGAUGCAGGCUUGAUGCAGGCUCCAGCUCAAUCUCUCCAUGUUCAGUAGGCUGAAUAGAUAUUAUCCUUGGCAAGUACCCCCUCUAAGAUUUGGCGUAGAGCCACCCUCUGUCCUAGCAACAACUACUAUAUCUUGGCAGAUUCUUUCAAAGUAAUCUAACUGGAUUAUUUAUUAUGUUACUAUCGACUGUAUACUUAUUUCUAGAAAACAGAAAGUUUGCUUCAGACACAGCAUACAAGUUAGUCAUAAGACCGAAACUCAUACAAAGGAAAAAAUGGUAGUAGUUUUAGCAGCUUUAGAAAAAAAAAAAACAUCCUUGAGGAAACUGAGCUGUUGCAAUACAUUAAAUUAAAUUUUCCUUCGUUGACCAAAUGCUUUGACAUUGAUUAUGUACUUACUGCAGUUGUGAAUGAAAGAUAUGCUCUGUCCUCAUGGCAUUUGCACUUCAGUGGGAGAAGAGAAGGUUAAGGAAACAUUAAAUAAUGAUACAUAGUAUGUUUUAAAUUAAGCAAUACAAAGGAAUGGAAACUUCCACAUAAACCCAGGAAGGAAAUGAUGAACUGAAACAAAUGGACAUCUACAGGAAAAGAUUUUCAGGGGAAGUCAGGUCAGCAGAGGAAACUGCGUCUCUAAAGCUGCAACAGAAGCCUGAUCACAUUCCCGUAGAUAAAAAGAAACAGGCCAAUACAACCCGAGAUUAUUCUUUUCCACAUGAAAUCAAAGGAAUAUUGAUCUUGGAAGAAAUAGUCCUUGGCAAUAAUAUUAAAAAUACAUAAUUUUUUUCUUAUAUGAAUAUAUGCAGGGCAUUUUAUAUUAUACAAUUUGUUAUUUUUUUUCCUUUAGUUGAUUGAAUGAGCUACCUUUUAAAAUUAUUAUAAAUGAAGAUCAAAUUUUAAUUUUUUCUUUUACUUUUGAUUAAAAUAAACUUAAUAUGGAAGAUUAUCCUUCUGAUAACAGAAUAAGCUCACUGCUAUAUUAUAUUACUUAUUUCAGUACAUGUGGGGCUUCCGGGUAACAAAAAAUGAAGUUCACUGUAACAAAGUCUUCCUUUAUUAUAUAGCUAUGCAUCAAUGAAAUGGAUUCCCCUACAGGGUUUUAAAAGAUGAAGAUUUCUUAAAGUAAUAUAAAGAGUAUUAUACCAUAGAAAUCUAAUCAUAUGCUUCAUUAUAUUUGUAUAGAAUUUAAAGAGAAAUGGAAAAGCAACAUAGUAAGUGCAUGUAUUAUUUACAGCAAAUCCAAGAUUAAUGUAGAAACAAAAGGACUUCUGAUAAAGCCUCCAGCUCAUUUGUGCCCCAGGUAGCAACAUUUAUUGGAGAGGAACAUGAUUUUCUUAAAUUUUUUUCAAUUAAAUUUUUUUGGUUAAAUGAUGCAGGGUAAUUUAAAUCAUGUAGUUAACAUGUUCCCAACUACUUGAUUCCUUGGAGGCACUAUAUAUGAGAAAGGGUAUAAACCUAGGGAGGUAAUUUGAAUUAUUUUAUUUAGAAUUGAAAAUUUUCAUAGAUUAUUUUCUUUUGAAAAAUACUUUCAUAGAAAAUCAUAUAACAAAAUGCUAAGCUUUUAAAGUAUGUAUUUACUUUUAGAUACUGCAAAUAGUAGUAAUAUCAAAAUAUUUAAUAAAACCUCAAAAUUCUAGUUCUGAACUUGACUAAGAAUAGGCUAGUAUAACCUAUAUCACUUAGGUAAGCCAAUAAGCUCCCCUUUAUUUGUAUUUGAAUUUCAUCAAUUCUAUUUUAAUAAAAAUCUGCAUAUUUGAUUAAUUGAAAAACUAAAAAUCUUAUGUCAAUGAGGCCAGGUGUUUAUAAACACAUGUAAAUCCAUUGUAUGAGAAUAGCUGUGCAGAAAUAUGUUAUUAUAAAAACCCCAAUAUCUGUAACAGUCAAGUAGUAUUAAAGAAUGUACAAUAUCUGAACUCAUGGACCUACUACAUAGGAGACAUAAAUUAUAAUAUUCUAGCACCGUAUCAGUAAGUGUUUGAGCACAGGGGCUACUGGAGAUACAGCUCAUAUGGUAGUGUUUGCAUAGGAUAUGGGAAGUCCUUGGUGACACCCUGAACAACUACCAGAUGUGGUAUCAUCUUCCCAUAAUUCAUUCAUGUCAUAAUUUUUAGGCUAUCCUCAGCAAUAUAGCAAAUUCAAGGCCAGUUUUGGCUAUAUGAGAUGGAAAAAAGGACAGAGACAGAGAGAGAAAGAGAGAGACAGAACAAUAGACACAGAAACAGAGACAGCAUCAUCAGCAGACAGAUAGAAACAAAGAGAAACAAAGACACAUCAGAAUUUUGAGAUACUUACAAGCAUAUGUAAGACAAUAGAUAAAUAUAAAGGUAUGAAUGCUAGAAACUUGCAGUUUAGUAUGAAUUCAAUAGGAUGUGUAUUUCUUUUAUCAGUUAAAUAAUUAACAAGGAUUGACUUUUCAUUAAAUAUGAUAAUGCAAGAUGAGAUAAGACAAGCCCCUGGAAACAUAGGUGAAGUUAUGCAUAAAUGAUGAGACUACAAAGAAACAACAGAGCAGGAUAGAAACACUUUAAACAAGUGCAUGUGAUGUCAUAGAAAAAAUGUCACAAAAAGAGACAUGCAUAUCCUGUGAUCUGUGAGCUUUAGGUUAGAUCUAACUGAAGCAAAGGGAAAUGAAGAAACAAGACACACAUCACACAUACAGAAGAGCUGAUGUAGCUUGGCUCAUAUUCUCAAAUGGAAACAUACCGAGAGCAUGCUAAUUUUUUACAGCUGCAUAUAAAAGCCUGGCUUAUUAUAUACAACUUCACAAGGUUGUGAGGUUAAUAGACAGAGAUAAACCAGUAGACAGGUUUGGCUGUUCUCAGUUGGGCUUCACAACAAGAGAGAAGUCUCCAGCUUAAAAUGGCCAAGAGGAGGAAGCUGCUGUAGACCUUUCCUGCACACAGAUCAAUUGCCAUUUCCCCAGGGCUGAUUGUAGAAGGCUUUGCAAUUCCCAUGUGAAGCAUUGGGGACGUUACCAUGCCAAGCUCAUGCCAACAGAAGACACUAGCUUAGACCUUCAUCACACUUUACAUAGUCACUCAGGGUCUGCACUGCUCCCUACAAACUAAAUUUUACAAAUAUCAUCAGAAUACAUUUUAAUAUAAGAAAAGAAAAGGCUAAUUUGGGUGAUAAUAAGUAACCAACCCUCAAAAUAAUGUACCUGAGGGAAUAAAAUUCUCAGCAUGAGCAAGUACUUUGAUAAAGCAAGAAUUAUGAUGUCUUAUAGGAGAGGAUUUGAUAAGGUCAUGUGCUCCAUGGUGAGAAGUGUUGUGCUAAUUUAUUAGACACUUUGGAGGGGAAAAUGUUUUGUUUUUUUGUUUUUUUUUUUUUUACAUAAAUAAGUCAUGUUGGUCUGUUACAUUGAACAUGCACAUGAAACCAUUGAGAGGGUAGAAAGAAUUGUUUGGAUAUAUCAUUUCAGAUUUAUGUACCGUGGUUAGCUCACUUCAUGGCUUUAGGUUUUGUAGGGUUGGUGGAAUGCCAUGGAACGUAGGCAUGACAUACUAUCUGCUCAUAUUAUGGUGACUAAGAAGGAGAGUAAACAGGGAGGACAGACAACAAGAUGGUUUGUUCAGUGGAGCACCCAUAGUAACCUAUUUCCUUCUGUCUUGGAGGGGUUUCAUUAGCUACCAAUAACGCCAGUCAAUUUGAAACCAAAUGACCUAGUGUGUUAAUGAAAUCAGAAACUCCAUGAUGGAUUCACUUCCCCUACAUCCCUUCAAGUGCUAACUAUACUUUUAAUCUGUGAGUCCUUUAGGGGUAUUUCACAUCCACACUGUAACACUAGUCACAUUUUAAUUCAAUCAAGUUGGCACUCAGGAUUAACCAUCGCACAUGUAGUGUGAUUAAAGUGUUUUCAAAUGUCUAAGCAUAACUCCAAAGAUAGAUUUAAAAUAAAGGAAAACAUAGACAAAGGGACCAAUUAGAAAGCCAUUGCUUUAGAGUCCUGGAAGGUUUUUAAAAUAAUAAUCUAAGUGGGAAACAGGCUUCAUGGUUUUCUUUUCUGCUGACAUCGAACACUACUUCAGGUUUCUUUCAAACAGCGUUUCAUUUAAUUCUCACCAGGAUAUUGCAUAGUUGAUAUUAUUAUGCCUAAUUAUAAUGAUUAAAACAAGAAGAAACUGAAUCUCACGGAGAACAUGAAAAAGGACCAAGAUCACAUGCCAACAUUGAUUGGAGCAAGAUUUGGAACUCAACUGAACAGUAAAAUUCUCACUGUGCAAUUAAAUACAUGAA
rnacentral:lncRNA from 1 species